GAUGAAGAACGCAGCGAAAUGCGAUAAGUAAUGUGAAUUGCAGAAUUCAGUGAAUCAUCGAAUCUUUGAACGCACAUUGCGCCCCUUGGUAUUCCGAGGGGCAUGCCUGUUCGAGCGUCAUUUCAACCCUCAAGCACAGCUUGGUCUUGGGCUUCGCCGCUAACCCGGCGGGUCUUACAAUCAGUGGCGGUGCCGUCGGGCCCUGAGCGCAGUAAUCUCUCUCGCUAUAGGGUCCCGGCGGAUGCUGGCCAGUAACCCCCAAUUUUCUAUGGUUGACCUCGGAUCAGGUAGGGAUACCCGCUGAACUUAAGCAUAUCAAUAAGCGGAGGA
rnacentral:misc_RNA from 1 species